GUUUGUCCGGGCGGCGUUAAACCUGGCGAGUCCUGGUUUGAAGAGGGUUGUGUCAAGUGCGACUGUUACGAAGAUGGGUUUGGAUGCGUCAACUGCCCUACGAUGGCCGUGUUAGGCAACUGUGAGAUCUUCUACGACACAGAGGGAGACUACCCCGCUUGUUGUGCACCACGGGUGGUCUGUGCUGACGAGGAUAAAUAAACAAUGUAAUGUAGACCACGGACUCAUCUGAAAUAAAGAUAUACUGCAAAC